UAGACCUCAGAUCAGGCAGGA
rnacentral:rRNA from 15 species